GGAGAAUUGGUAGAGUGGUAAUACAAUAGCUUGCUAAGCUAUACAUCGGGAACGGUGCAAAGGUUCGAAUCCUUUAUUCUCCG
rnacentral:tRNA from 1 species